rnacentral:rRNA from 1 species
CCUACGGGGUGCAGCAGUAGGGAAUCUUUCACAAUGGGCGAAAGCCUGAUGGAGCAACGCCGCGUGCAGGAUGAAGGCCUUCGGGUUGUAAACUGCUUUUAUAAGCGAGAAAUAUGAUGGUAACUUAUGAAUAAGGAUCGGCUAACUACGUGCCAGCAGCCGCGGUCAUACGUAGGAUCCGAGCAUUAUCCGGAGUGACUGGGUGUAAAGAGUUGCGUAGGUGGCAUAAUAAGUAGCUAGUGAAAUCUGGUGGCUCAACCAUUCAGACUAUUAGCUAAACUGUUAAGCUCGAGACCGUUAGGAGUAACUGGAAUUUCUAGUGUAGGAGUGAAAUCCGUAGAUAUUAGAAGGAACACCAAUAGCGUAGGCAGGUUGCUGGGACGGUUCUGACACUAAGGCACGAAAGCGUAGGGAGCAAACGGGAUUAGAUACCCUUGUAGUC